rnacentral:rRNA from 1 species
AACGAACGCUAGCGGCAGGCCUAACACAUGCAAGUCGAGCGCCCCGCAAGGGGAGCGGCGGACGGGUGAGUAACGCGUGGGAAUAUGCCCUUUGCUACGGAAUAGUCUCGGGAAACUGGGGGUAAUACCGUAUACGCCCUUUGGGGGAAAGAUUUAUCGGCGAAGGAUUAGCCCGCGUUGGAUUAGGUAGUUGGUGGGGUAAUGGCCUACCAAGCCGACGAUCCAUAGCUGGUUUGAGAGGAUGAUCAGCCACACUGGGACUGAGACACGGCCCAGACUCCUACGGGAGGCAGCAGUGGGGAAUCUUAGACAAUGGGGGCAACCCUGAUCUAGCCAUGCCGCGUGAGUGAUGAAGGCCUUAGGGUUGUAAAGCUCUUUCAGCUGGGAAGAUAAUGACGGUACCAGCAGAAGAAGCCCCGGCUAACUCCGUG